GUGCGUUUAAAAGAACCACUCAUCCUUCUUAAGGAGCCCGUGAACUUCCCACCUCUGGCUCCGGCAGGUCUCUUGCCCACUUGCCCUUUUCCCUCCAUGAAUAAUCGGGUAGCACCAGGCCACUAUGGAAAACUUUACAUUCAUUCAUAGAGUCUACGAAGCACCUAAGCAGAGCUACAGCUCAGCAGGGCAGAAACAAGAAAACGAACCUACAAAGAGACAUUGCUGUUACGUAGAAAUGGAAAGGUCCCAGAAUGGACGAGCUGGCAUACACAUAGCCAGGAGGGAAUGGAGCUAUCAUGGAGCAGGGGUAAACCUGAG